CAGAGGUAAGGUGAGUUUGG
rnacentral:piRNA from 1 species